rnacentral:rRNA from 1 species
CAGUCGCCGCGGGAAUACGUAGGUCCCGAGCGUUGUCCGGAUUUAUUGGGCGUAAAGCGAGCGCAGGCGGUUAGAUAAGUCUGAAGUUAAAGGCUGUGGCUUAACCAUAGUACGCUUUGGAAACUGUUUAACUUGAGUGCAAGAGGGGAGAGUGGAAUUCCAUGUGUAGCGGUGAAAUGCGUAGAUAUAUGGAGGAACACCGGUGGCGAAAGCGGCUCUCUGGCUUGUAACUGACGCUGAGGCUCGAAAGCGUGGGGCGCAAACAGGAUUAGAUACCCCAGUAGUCCCUGUCUCUUAUACA